rnacentral:rRNA from 1 species
CCAAUAGCGUAUAUUAAAGUUGUUGCAGUUAAAAAGCUCGUAGUUGAAUUUCGGGAUCAAUGUUUCGGUCGUGCCUCGGUACGUACUGGCAUCGUUGGUUUCUCCCUUCUGAAGAACCAUGAUGUCAUUCAUUUGGUGUCGUGGGGAAUCAGGACUGUUACUUUGAAAAAAUUAGAGUGUUUAAAGCAGGCUCACGCUUGAAUACAUUAGCAUGGAAUAAUGAAAUAGGACGUUUGAUUCUAUUUUGUUGGUUUCUAGGAUCGACGUAAUGAUUAAUAGGGAUAGUUGGGGGCAUUAGUAUUCAAUUGUCAGAGGUGAAAUUCUUGGAUUUAUUGAAGACUAACUACUGCGAAAGCAUUUGCCAAGGAUGUUUUCAUUAAUCAAGAACGAAAGUUAGGGGAUCGAAGACGAUCAGAUACCGUCGUAGUCUUAACCAUAAACUAUGCCGACUAGGGAUCGGAUGAUGUUAAUUUUUUAAUGACUCAUUCGGCGCCUUACG